UACUAUUUAUAAUAAUUUUUCAUUAAUUCAAGAAUUUAUCAUUUACUAAAUGAAAAUAACAUAAUAAAACAUGGAAGGUAACAACAAAAUUCUUACCCGUGAUCACAUAACUAAGAAUUAGUACUAUAUUGAGAUAAUAUCUCAUUACAAACUCCUUAAUAUAAAACACAACAAUAAUUAAAAUUCAUUCAACAACAUGAGGUCAAAUAGAAAUACAAUAAUUUAGUAAUAAACUAAGGAAAAAAAUAUGUUGCUUCCUCAAACGCUAAUGUAACCACUUGUCUUGUAACUUCGCUCUUGAAUAAAUUUAAACUUUCAUGUACCUGUGGAAGAAAAAAAAAAAUUUAGUACAUUUGAUAACAUAAUUUAGCAAAAAACAUAUUUUCAGACAUUAGUCGUGUCAUAUUUUAAUUUGUGAAGAAAAUAAUAGAAUGACACAAGAAUUCUACUGGCCGGUAGAAACUUAGUCAAAGUUAGACAGUAAAUAUUUAAUUCUUCUUUGACUGCAAAUAACCACAAGAAUUAAGACAAGGAGAUAUGAAACUAAAAUUAACUAAUCUCUAAAAAAUUAAUGAAUAAUAGACAAAUUUCUUUAUACCUCUGCAUUAGAAUUAAAUCAAUAAGAACCCACGAAUACUUAUACAUAAUAUAUCAUCUGGAGAAAUCCAAAUUUUUAUUGCCCUACAAUUGAAAGAAAAAGAUAUUCCGUAUAAGAGAUGCAACAGAAAAAAAAAGUGAAGUAUAAUUAAUAUUUCUUAACUUAGAUUGAGGAUUUGUACCAAAGCAAAGGAGGCGUCAGAAGAGGCUUUGCGUCUUAAAACGCCCAUCAUGCAGAUUUGAUCUUUUAUGUUAUUAAAUCAACAAAAGAGUUCGAAGAAAAUUAAACAUUACAGAAUACAAAUAAUUUGUGUGUGUGAAAGAGAAAGAAAUAAUAAAUUAAUGGAGGUAGAUAAUAUAGCAGAUCUAAGUGGUGAAAUAAUUUGAUAAGGAGAUGAAUAUCACAACGUGUUGGGAGAGAAAAGAGGGAUAAUUGAGAUAUGG
rnacentral:lncRNA from 1 species